GGAAAAGUUGCCAUUGGUAAGGCGAGAUAUUUGCUAAAUAUUGUGUUUUAACACCUGAUGGUUCAAUUCCAUCCUUUUCCG
rnacentral:tRNA from 1 species